rnacentral:lncRNA from 1 species
UCAAAGAUUGCGCUUAACCAUUGUCUUAAUUAUGCUCUCAUUAUUGCGCCUUUCUUAGGCCCAAUGUUUGACAAGGCUGCGGUGCAAUCUUUAACCAUGAUUUUAAGGGACCGAUGUCACAUAUGGCUCCUAACAUUGUCAAAUAUUGCGCCUUACCCUUGGUUCAUUCCUUCUUGUCUAUGUAUGCCUGUAUUGCUCCAAAUAGUGUCUCAAUAUCAUUUUGUACCUUAUAUCUCUAAAAAAACACCAAAACGACAUCAAAUGGACCCCGACUGGUUCCGAGAUAUUAAAGCGAGAUAGAAUUUAGAAAACGCAAAACAUCCUAAACUUCUACCCGAAGCUAUACAGUUAUACAAGAAAUGUUUCUUAAAUGAGGGCGAUGAACGCGGCAAACCGAACAUCAUUGAUAGACUCCACUCUCGGCCUCUACAACAGUGUAGAACUGAAGGUAGACUCCCAGCUCAUCAGGGGAGAUGCUGUGGCACUUCACCCCGCCCACAACCGAAACGAACCUUCGAGGUGGUGAAAAUGUAGCAGCCAAACUCAAGUGUAGCAAAGAACUCCAUAACUACGUGAGGAUAGAUGUUCUUAUUCACCAUAAUCACCUUCCAGAAGUGGUUGGACUGGUAGCAGUAGUUGCAGACUGGGUUUAACCAACUUCUCCUUGAGAAAUACUCGCCUGAGUGAUUGCGGGAAGAUGCUGGAUGGUCUGGUAGAACGUCCAAUAUGCGCAACACUCCGGGCAUGUGAAGCACUUCUCAUGGAGGAGCAGAGGAGGAGGCACUGGUUGGCCGGUAGAGUGUAAGAGGCUGGAACUACAAGCAACAGAUCCGUAACUGGCUGAGCUAAACAACAAAAACCAUCAUUCCUUUAUUCCUCUUGUUAGUCUUGGUAAUCUUAGGUUUUGAAGCCAUCCUGAAAUAUUUAAUAAGUGUGAGCAUCCUAAGGAAUAAUAAGCUAAGGGCACACCAAUAAAUCAUACUACUUAAGAAUUACAUGAUCAAGCUAGCUCACAAGUAGUCAUGGAAAUAUGUAAGGCAGAAGAAUGUGGAAAUCCAAUGAUAGGUACAUAGUCAUUCACAUAGGUAAUUAACUAGCAAUACUAUGCAAAUGCAAUGCUAAGUUCACAACUAAGCAUCAACUACCAUAAUGAAUCAUCAAAAGUGUACCAAUGAGUAAGAUAAGUAUAACAAGUAUGAACAAAGCAUCAAGAAAUCAACUAUGCAACAUUCAAGUUAUAUCAUAGGAGAUACCAAAGGACUAGUAGCAGGUAACAACCCUAAACCAAAAUAAUGAGCACAAUAUGCAUAUUCGAGAGCAAUGGUAUGAUCAAAUUUGAGCAAAAGAGGGAAUAAGGCAUAGUCACAUAUCAAUUCAUCAUUUAGAAGCAUCACAAUCACCUAGCACAACCCUAGGUACAAGAUUCAAAAUCAAACCAAAAAGAUGCAAUUCCAAAGUUUCAUCACAAAAUUUCAAUGUUCAACCAUAUUUGCUUCAAUAUUCAUCCUAAAGGCAAAGCUAGAUAUUAAUUUAGGCAAUAUCAUCCUAUCCUAGCAUUUGCAAUGUUCAACAUCAUCAUCAUCAUCAUUCACCAAUUCACCACAUUUGACCUCAAUUUACCCUAAACCAAAACUAAUUCAACCAUGACCAACAAAUGGAAUUCCCCCAACAGUUAAAGAUUUUCAUCCUUGAAAAUUAAAGAACGACAAAGAUCCUAAGCAAGAGGUUAAAAAUUCAUGACCACAUGCCAUCUAAACCAUCCACAAUUCAAUCCACAACCCAACAAUUUAAACCAAACAAGUUUGCACAACCCUAAUCAUGCACCUAUGAACACUUCAAAUUUACAAGCAAGCACAAUUUGGGGCACAAAUCACUCAAUCGAAUCCCAAAAUCCUAAUCAUGCAUACAAGAACCAAUUGGAGUUCACAAUCAAGUCAAAGUCAAAAGUUUCUAAUCUAGUUUAUGAAUUCGAAGCAAAAAAUUGAAAUCGGAAGAACUUGGCACAAGGUUGGACUCGGGGGGGNNNNNNNNNNNNNNNNNNNNNNNNNNNNNNNNNNNNAACAGAGGAAGGAGGGAGAAAGAGGUUGGUGCGGCGGUGGUCUGGAGGGAGGUGGUAGAGGUUGGGUGAGGGAAGGGUGAAGGGACGGGAGAAGAGGAGCGAUGGUCUAGAGGCGGGGUGUCAAAGGGAUCAACGGAGAAGAGGGAAGGAAAAGAUGAUAGGGGAGGAGGUGGCAACGAGAGGGCUAAGAGUGGAUUUUGGGUGAAUCAGGAAGAGGAAGGUUGAGAUUUGGGAACGAUC